ensembl:lncRNA
GCUCUGCAGGUUGGGUUAAUUCAAACAACUGCAUUAAAACCAGCAGUGGCUCCAUGCGUCUGCAGGCACAGCUCCAGCAAGAGGGCAAUGCCUUCCUUUCGGAGCUCUUCCCUGCAGGUUUGCUCUCCCGCACAGAGAUCUCACUCGAUGAUUUUUGUUAGCGAGGGUGUUAAUUGCAUUGCUGGAAAUCAAAGCAUCUGUCCCUACCAUCGCAGCCAUUGGUAGGUUUUCGCUUUUGCUGCCCCGUGGGGUCCUGCAAAGGCAGCGGAGAGGUUAUUUAGUGCCAAACCUGGGCGUGGGUAGGAGAAAAUGCACCCAGACGGUGCUGCAGUGGGAGAGAAGCGGCUGCAGGGCAAAGGGACGGAGAAAUGGGAGGAUUUAAUGGCAUGGUCUUCACCUUCCCUGGGUGUUUUGGUGUUUGUUUGUUAAUGCUGGAGAAAAACAAAUCCUAUAAAACAAAUCAGUAAAUCCCGCUGUCUCCUGACCCAGCACCUUGCAAAGGGCAGCACCCAAAGCAAUCGGGGUCGAGCCCAAGCCACCCGGCACAUCGGUGGCGUAGAGGAGGGCAUCCCACCCUCUGCUCUGCAGGAUCCGCGCUUUAGGAAGAGAACCCCGCCGCGAGGUCUAAGAAGAGCGAAAGCAGGGCUUUCGCCUCCUGAUGGGGCUUGGGCAGUGUUUCCCCCAUCGGUCCCGCCGAUCCCACCCAGCCCCGCAGCUUCCGGACGGGGCUGGCAGCGGUGGGAGACCAGAUCCGUGGACGGAGAUUAAGCAAGAAGCCUCCUUGCCAGAAAAUCAUCUGAAGCGGGUGGUUCCAGCUCACAGCAGCUCAAUUUAUAUUCUCCGAUGGCUCGCUGGAAGCUGCGCGCAGCUCCAUAAAGAGGCACGAGACGGGCAAGGCAGACGUUCCUGCUGGAGGACGAUCGCUGGCGCAGUCAGGCCGCACCCGGGGCUCAUGGUGGUGACUCGGGGCUGUCCCCCAGGGGAGCACGAGGGGCAGCAGGUGACGGGGAUGCAGCCCCGAUGGCUUUGGAGGCGGCCCACGGGAGCAUCCCCGCUCCAAACCUCUCUUGGUGGGGAUGCCAAGUUUCUGGGGCAUCCGAGGAAAAGAAAGAAAGGUUUCUGGGGCAUCUGAGGAAGAAAAAGAGAGGUUCCUAGCGUGGCCAAGAUGCUCUAUGACAGCCGUGAGCACUGCAGAGGGUGCGGGCAGAUCGGGGCAGGAUUUAUUGUGGCGGGACGUGUCUUGGGAGAAUCAAGUCCUACAAAGGGUGAAGGGCACGAGGGGGAAGGAGGGGUGAGUGUGGUGCAGCGUGAGACUUGAGGCUGCAAUAGGGAAGCGGGGAAGAAGAUAGGGGAUGGCUGAGGUGGGAAGGGACCUCUGGGUCCGUCUGGUCCCAUCCCGCUCCAGCGAAGGCUGUGGGCUCACCAGCCCCACGCACAUGUUUUAUUUUCCGCGUGGAGACCACACGGGCAGUAACAAGGAGCAGCUCUGCGGGAUCUGCCCGGUAGAACCCGAGGACGAGUCUGCAAGGCUGGCCCUGGCUGUGUGUUUUUGCAGGAGGGGGGGGGUUAGCAGCGGGCAAAGGGCCGCCCAGCUCAGCCCCUUCGGCUGCGGGGUGGAGGUGAGACGAUGCUCAGAGCGAGGUGGGAGCGCGGAUGGCAAUCCCGUCGUCGCCUGGGUCCUUCCCCAGGUGGGGAUGCCAAGCGGGUGGGAGACUAAAGGCAGAACAUUUUAGGAGAGGUUUUGGUAGGGCCAGGAGGGAUGCAGCAGGAAGCCACCCUGAACUUUGUGGGCAUCUCCUGCGAGAGCACGCGGACGCGUCUCACGUAGGAGCAUCCCGGGGAGAGCCCUUGCUGUUUGUACAAGCCCCGUGACACCCGGGGCAAAUAAACAGGCGGAAAACAGGAGGGGAACGCUCCCC